AAAAGCCUGUGAAGCCUCUCUUCAAAGCUUUCUCUUUUGGAAUUGUCAUGCUAAAGGAGGAUUUAAUUAAUGCUCUGUAUGUGCAUUUCCAAUGGAAAUGGUCACACUUGGAGAAGAGGAGAGGGAGGAAGGAAAGACCCUCUUGCUUUGCUUUCCACAGUUAAUUUGGAGAACUCUUCUUUGGCUGUGGUCCCUGAUAUCUCCCAUGGCCGCAGUCUCAACACUGAAAAUAUCUAUGCAGCAUUCUCAUGGGUGGCAACUGGUCUUCUAGAGCACUUCAAGAAAAAAAAAAUACAAGUAGAAAAGCUUUUUUUCAUAUUUCCCAAAUUCAUGUGUGCUUUUCAAGUCUUAGUUUUCAAAAAAUGUCCUUUUUUAUGUGUUCUUUUAAAAUCAUAGUUUAAAAAAAAUUGCCUUUUUGGAUGUUUUUGCCAGGUCACAGGUCUGUGUAUGGUAUUACAGUAAAACAAGUCUGUGACUGACAGACCCUAGUGUGACAUGCAAAUGUACUUAUACCAUGUGUUCUUUACAUUUUCCUGAGUGUACAGGCAUAUUUUUCCUCAAAAUUUUGAAAAAACCCUCCAUUCUCCUUCUCUGUGUCUCAGAGAGGGGACUGUUCUAUUCUGGAAGAUUUUUAGAUUAAAUACAUAAGCAGAGAUAUAGGUAGCUGAUAGGGGUAGCAUGGAUAUAAGUGGGUCCUGGAAAACUGUUUUCCCAGUCUCCUUUGUCUCUUUUCCAAACAGUGUCUAUGGGAACAGGGAGCUUAAUGAGCUGGUUGUGACACAGGAUGCGUGGGCAGACCUUGCUGUUAUCUGUUUGGUUCUGGAGAAACACUCAAUCACAAUUGAAUGCAAGAAUUGGCAUUGGAAAUUUGGCAGAAAGCAAUACUGUCCUAAUGGCAAGAUUUAAAAUGAAUAUUUCAAUUUUGGUGCCAGAAUAUAGUAACUAGUGGAUGAAAUUGCUCAUAAAGCAUUCAGCAGCCUCAUUAAGAUGGGUCAUAUUGUCUGCAGGCAGGAGUAG
rnacentral:lncRNA from 1 species